rnacentral:misc_RNA from 1 species
GAUGAAGAACGUAGCGAAAUGCGAUACGUAUUGUGAACUGCAGAAUUCAGUGAAUCAUCGAAUCUUUGAACGCAUAUUGCGCUCUCUGGUUUUCCGGAGAGCAUGCUUGUUUGAGUAUCAGUAAACACCUCAACUUCCAUAUCUUUUUUGAAAUGGGAGUUGGACUUGAGUGAUCCCAACGCUUUUCCUCACCGAAAAGUGGCGGGUUACUUGAAAUGCAGGUGCAGCUGGACUUUUCUCUGAGCUAUAAGCAUAUCUAAUUAGUCUGCCUAAAAAACAGAUUAUUACCUUUGCUGCAGCUAACAUAAAGGAGAUUAGUUCUUGUGCUGACUGAUGCAGGAUUCACAAAGACGGCUUCGGCCGACUUUGUAAACUCGAUCUCAAAUCAAGCAAGACUACCCGCUGAACUUAAGCAUAUCAAUAAGCGGAGGA